rnacentral:rRNA from 1 species
AGUGAACGCUGGCGGUAGGCCUAACACAUGCAAGUCGAACGGCAGCACAGUAAGAGCUUGCUCUUACGGGUGGCGAGUGGCGGACGGGUGAGGAAUACAUCGGAAUCUACUUUUUCGUGGGGGAUAACGUAGGGAAACUUACGCUAAUACCGCAUACGACCUACGGGUGAAAGCAGGGGAUCUUCGGACCUUGCGCGAUUGAAUGAGCCGAUGUCGGAUUAGCUAGUUGGCGGGGUAAAGGCCCACCAAGGCGACGAUCCGUAGCUGGUCUGAGAGGAUGAUCAGCCACACUGGAACUGAGACACGGUCCAGACUCCUACGGGAGGCAGCAGUGGGGAAUAUUGGACAAUGGGCGAAAGCCUGAUCCAGCCAUACCGCGUGGGUGAAGAAGGCCUUCGGGUUGUAAAGCCCUUUUGUUGGGAAAGAAAAGCAGCAGGUUAAUACCCCGCUGUUCUGACGGUACCCAAAGAAUAAGCGCCGGCUAACUUCGUG